AUUGAACGCUGGCGGCAGGCCUAACACAUGCAAGUCGAACGAGUGGCGGACGGGUGGGUAAUUCUUGGGAAACUAGCUUAUGGAGGGGGCUAACUGCGGGAAACUGUAGCUAAUACCGCUUACCAUAGGAUGAGCCCACGUGGGAUUAGGUAGUUGGUGUGGUAAAGGCUAACCAAGCCGACGAGCCCUAGCUGGUCUGAGAGGAUGACCAGCCACACUGGGACUGAGACACGGCCCAGACUCCUACGGGAGGCAGCAGUGGGGAAUAUUGCGCAAUGGGGGCAACCCUGACGCAGCCAUGCCGCGUGAAUGAAGAAGGCCUUCGGGUUGUAAAGUACUUUCAGCGGGGAGGCGGUACCCGCAGAAGAAGCACCGGCUAACUCCGUGCCAGCCGCCGCGGUAAUUC
rnacentral:rRNA from 1 species